rnacentral:rRNA from 1 species
GACGAACGCUGGCGGCGUGCUUAACACAUGCAAGUCGAGCGGUAAGGCCCUUUCAGGGGUACACGAGCGGCGAACGGGUGAGUAACACGUGGGUGACCUGCCCUCAGCUCUGGGAUAAGCCUGGAAACCGGGUCUAAUACCGGAUAUGACUCCAUGACGCAUGUUGUGGGGUGGAAAGCCUUGUGCGGCUGAGGAUGGGCCCGCGGCCUAUCAGCUUGUUGGU